rnacentral:ncRNA from 1 species
UACAAUUUUGGUCCUAGACUUACCGUUGUUUUUAAUCAAAAUUACACAUGCAAGCAUCUGCACACCAGUGAGAAUGCCCUACAUUAACAAGGAGCAGGCAUCAGGCACAGUGUUCUAGCCCAAAACGCCUUGCUACGCCACACCCCCACGGGCACCCAGCAGUGAUAAAUAUUAAGCAAUGGGUAAAACCUAAACAUAAGCCCGACUUAGUUAUGAUUAAUUAGGGCCGGUCAACCUCGUGCCAGCCACCGCGGUUAUACGAAGGGCCCAAAACAACAGACUUCGGCGUAAAUCGUGGCUAGAACAAGUCUGCAUAAGAGGCCUUAAACUAUGAUCAAAUGGUAAAAUAUUGAUCAAAUGAAAACUACUGCCCUCAAAACAGACCAUUUGAACCCACGAAAGCUAAGGAACAAACUAGGAUUAGAUACCCUACUAUGCUUAGCCGUAAAUACGACACUUACCUAACACAAGUGUCCGCCAGAGAACUACAAGUGAAAAACUUAAAACUCAAAGGACUUGGCGGUGCUUCACAUCCGACUUAGAGGAGCCUGUCCUAUAAUCGAUAAUCCACGAUAUACCCUACCACCCUUAGCCACUCAGCCUAUAUACCGCCGUCGCCAACCCACCCCAUGAGGGAAGAAAAGUGAGUAAAACAGUUCAACAACUAAAACGUCAGGUCAAGGUGUAGCUUAUAAGGUGGCAGAGAUGGGCUACAUUUUUUAACUUAAAACAAACGGCAAAGUGUUGUGAAACCAACACUAAAAGGAGGAUUUAAUAGUAAGAUUGGCAAGAAUACCAAUCUUAAACCCGCUCUGAAGCGCGCACACACCGCCCGUCACCCUCAUCUACAAACAAUCUAACAUCCAUAAACCGAAAACAACAAACAAGAUGAGGCAAGUCGUAACAUGGUAAGCGUACUGGAAAGUGCGCUUGGAUUAC